rnacentral:rRNA from 1 species
CCCUUAGAUGUUCUGGGCCGCACGCGCGCUACACUGACGGAGGCAGCGAGCAUGUCCUUCGCCGAGAGGUGUGGGGAAUCUUGUGAGUCUCCGUCGUGCUGGGGAUAGAUGGUUGCAAUUGUCGAUCUUGAACGAGGAAUGCCUAGUAAGCGCGCGUCAUCAGCGUGCGUUGAUUACGUCCCUGCCCUUUGUACACACCGCCCGUCGCUACUACCGAUUGAACGGCUCAGUGAGGCCCUCGGACUGGCUCGGGGAGGCUGGAAACGGCCACCCCAGGCCGGGAAGUCGGACGAACUCGGUCGUUUAGAGGAAGUAAAAGUCGUAACA